CUAGGAAAAAUUAUUUAUGUGGAUAUUGUUCUUUCCUCAUUUAUGAAAUAAUGUUGUUCCCAACAACCCUAACUACUUCGGUGGCACCAUGACCAAAAUUUCUCUUGUAUUAAUGAAAAGUACAAAGAAAAGCAUGUACAAAAGAGUCGUGGCUCCUACAUUUUCUUCACUUACACACCAAAAUUACUACACUGUGAUCUCUAUCUGGUGGGCUAAAUUGAAGAUGAUUCGAGUUUGGUUGCAAGAGCUGAACAACUAAGAAAGUAUGACAGAAUGUUGGAGAUGAUGGGUGAGAGGAUUUUGGAGGAGCCAAAAGUUUCUAUCUUUUUAGUUUAGCAAGAGAGAUUAAUGCAUUUUAACUUCAUUUAUCUCUGUUGCUGAUAAAUUGAACAAUUUCAGGUCCAGUUUUCAAUUAAUGUCAUAUUUUUCACCUUUUUAUUCUA